GGCUUCCUUCUCAGGCCCUGGCUGUGCUGCAGGGAUGCUGCAGGUCGGACCUUAUUCUGGCGGUGGCCACACGCCUUCAGGCUCUAGGUGGCAAGACCCUUCUUCAGUGUCAGCCUCACCCUGUCGGGCCAAGAAAUGACUCUCAACAGAAAUAUAAUUUUCUUGCAAUUAGUGUAAGUGGGUGUCACUCAUAUCAUCUGGAAGAAUACAAAGAAACAAGACUGAGAGUGAAUAGGAGUGGGAGCCUUUCCAUACACUGGACCAGCCAUUUGAAAACAACAGCCUGUAAGACUGGAAAGCUCUCCCUUGGCUUGUGAUCUUGGAUAGAUUCUGCUGUUUUUUAUUUUUUAAAGAGUGCUUGUUUGCCAGAAAUAAGCAAAAACGGAGAGACAGUAUGUGACAGGAAAGUUCUUACUCACGCAAAAUGAUUGGAAAUCAGUGUAAGGAAUGCUGAACAUGACAGGACCAUGCUACAUAAAUGAGCUCGGGGUCAUGGCUCCUUCCUCCCUCCCCUGUGAACUGCUGACUAGGGGAACUUGUGGCUACAAUUACUGCAAUGAAAUGUAUCUUCAAGAGCUCUUUCAACUGCUGUGGGAUCUAGUGUGUGGAUCAGUCAGCUCUGGCCCUCCAGCUUUCAGAGUAGCAGAGAUCUGAUCUGAUGGCAUCUCCAGUCCAGCUGAGACCUCCACAGGAUGUCAGACCAGGGAGCCAGGAGAGUGCCCUGCCGCACCAGUGACAAAGCCUCAGCAAGGGAACCCCCUCAUGUUCUUUAAGCCAGCCAACAUCCACAGUGUUACAGCACUCAUCUAUUGACUCAUGCGCAGCACGCUAUCUGCCUGGGAAGGUGCCAGGGAAAAGACUUGGUGUUGGGAACAGUUGAGUGUUAGGAGGUGGGGAAUAUGAUGAUAUUUUAGUACUUAUUAAUUAACCUUACAAUUUUCUUCUCUAGAUCCUAUUUUCCUUCUCCAAAUAAAGCUCCCCCUUUGCUAACUCUUGAUAGGUGCGUCAUUUUUUCGUUGGGAUUUAUGUUG